rnacentral:lncRNA from 1 species
GGGAAUAAAAUAUCUCAUCUUCUACACACCGCUUUCCCCUUUAUCUCCUCCGUCUCUCUCGACCUGUCUCUGCCCCCAAAAUCCCUACAUGGCAUGACCUCCACCACCGCCUCCUCAAAAGAUAGCAGCAGCAGAGCGCUCCCGCCUCUGGUGGCCGCGUUCGCACCGUUUCUCCUACAUGCGAGGCCUGCUGCACUGUAGCGGGAGAGCUGCAGCGCCGUUGCGUGGCCGCUGUACUCGCCGACGCCGGACGCUCCACCAGCUUCGCGCCGUGAGCAUAUUCACGGGAGGUUAUCUUCGCUCCGAUGGACUCCGGCGCUCCAUGCCAUGGCGUCGCGAGAGGUUGGGCAGACGGAAGAGUGGAUUGAUCGAUUUUUUAAUCUUCUUAGAUUUGGCAUCGGAGCAAGUACGUGCUCCGGUUCCAAAAUAUUUGGCUUUGGCAUCGGUGUCACAGUGUUGAAAAACGGUGCCAAAUGCCAAAUCUCUAUUUGGCACCCCUAUUUGGCUUACACCGUGGAAGCCUAAAAGGACUUUUGUCGAGGAAAAACAACUUGUUCGGUGGGAUGGGCAUUGUGUCCAGGGCUUUAGGCCCCUUUCUAAAUUGCUGAAAUUUUGGUGAAACUGAAGUUCAUUUAGUUUUUGGUUUCCAUUCCGCAAAGGUACCUACGUACAAGCGAUGCAGCUUAAAACAGGCGACAUCGGGAACAAACACGUCUACGUUUCCAUUCUGCGAAGGUACGCACACAACAUGAGUACAAGCUAUGCCAUCCGAUCUCUGAAUCCUCAUUCUUUCCUCCCAAUGCCGUGAGCCAUGUUGUAGAUCCCACGCCCCUGCGCGUGAACACCAAACGGGAACACGGCAUAGCAUCAGCACAAGUGCCCGACCAAAACAGGAAGAAAUAAACACACAGUGAAAGUGAAAUACUCGAACUUAUGCAG